rnacentral:rRNA from 1 species
UGGGGAAUAUUGCGCAAUGGGGGAAACCCUGACGCAGCAACGCCGCGUGAAGGAUGAAGGUCUUCGGAUUGUAAACUUCUAUCGAUGGGGACGAAGAAAAUGACGGUACCCAAGUAAGAAGCCCCGGCUAACUACGUGCCAGCAGCCGCGGUAAUACGUAGGGGGCAAGCGUUAUCCGGAAUUACUGGGUGUAAAGGGUGAGUAGGCGGCUUUGCAAGCCAUGUGUGGAAUUCCAAGGCUCAACUUUGGAAGUGCACAAGGAACUGCAAAGCUCGAGUGCGGGAGAGGUAAGCGGAAUUCCUAGUGUAGCGGUGAAAUGCGUAGAUAUUAGGAAGAACACCAGUGGCGAAGGCGGCUUACUGGACCGCAACUGACGCUGAAUCACGAAAGCGUGGGGAGCAAACA